rnacentral:lncRNA from 1 species
UCAGUGAGGAAGAAGGCCCGACGGCUUCUGACCCCGCUGGCUGAAUAAAAUGCCGCUGAUCACGACGAUGCCAUGACCGGAGAAAGGAUGAAGAAAUCUGCCGCCGGAGAGAGCACCAACGAGACCUCAACGAAGACAUUUGAGAUCUCCAAUGAAGAAGCUCUGUUCCUGUAUGCUCUACGUUGCUUGGCGAUCUGUUUUCAGAUACUUUUGUCAUUGUUGUUGAGCUAGGCGCCACUACGAUGGCUGAUCUAUGCGCUACCACGGUGGGUGAUAUAAGAGCUGCCAAGCUAAGAGAUCCGACGCCACCAAGUUUGAUAGAGACUACAUGAGGAAAAUUAGAUCUAAAAGAGGAACUAAUAUGGAGUGAAGGCUGCUUGGAGUGAAUGUUCUCAGAUCUGAUCGAAAAAGGAGGCGUGGAGCCAUUGAACCGAGAUAGUAUUGAAAUUUUCAGAAAAGUAUCUAGCACAGCCCUCAAGUGGUUCAACG